ACUGCAUGUGAGGAUUUGAGAGCAGCCAGGCUCCUCUGUCAGCCUGGUAGGCUGCAGUCCAUGGGGUCACUAAGAGUCAGACAUGACUGAGUGACUUCAAUUUCACUUUUCACUUUGAAGAAGGAAAUGGCAACCCACUCCAGUAUUCUUGCCUGGAGAAUACCAGGGACGGGGGAGCCUGGUGGGCUGCCAUCUAUGGGGUCGCACAGAGUCGGACAUGACUGAGGCGACUUAGCAGCAGCAGCAGCAGCAGGCUCCUCUGUCAGUGAUCAGAUCAUCCCCCCACCCCACUAGGGUGCCUGGAAUGCCACCACUGUGGUCCCCAGCACCUCCUGACUCUGAGUAUUUUAGACUUGGGUUAGGAGAUUCACUCCCGUUUUUAGAAGGCUCACCUUGUGCUAUGCUAAGAGUUUGGCAUGUAUUAUUCUUUGAGAGGAUCCAGCAAAGAAUUCAGAGGCUGGAGGAAUGGUGGAACUACAGGAUGAAAGGAGCCUGGUGCCGAGUCACCGUGCAGAGGAAGGCUGUGGCAAGUGCCUGCAUCGGGCUGUUAUUCGGCUAAAAAAUAAACGUCCAUCACUUUAAUCAACUCAAGUAUGGAGGUUGUUCGCCAUUGCCUCAGACCACCAUCAGACCACCGCUGAUACUGGAGUUGGAAAAGAAAGCUUCUCCUAGAAUCAGAGGCCCUCUGGUUGAAAAGAACCUUGGAUACCACAGAUGCAAAGCUCCCCUUACAACAUCUCCAUCCACAGUUCUCCCAACCAGACUUGCACACCCACCAUGACGGGGAGCUCACUCCCAGUGGAGGCGUCAUCUUCUGUCUUUGGACUGCCUUGGCUGCAGGAGGGAUUUCCUUACUCUGAGCCUUGCCUCAGCCCCCUGCAGAGCCCACCGGCUUCUCAGUCUUCACAUAGCUGAGAGUGAAGGCCAGGUGCUCCUGGGUGACCCCUUCUUUCUCUAGCCAACGAAUGUGCACUGAGGCCUCUGGCCUGCCAGGCCCUCUCCGGGCGGCUCACUGCCCUCUGUCCACCUUGCCUCUGGGCUGUGUUUUGUAGCACCCACACUGUGUUAGUCGUUUCCUGUGCACACAGUAGGUCUGAUUCUCAUCACCUCUGCCCCUGGCAUUGGUCUCAAUGGGAAGUGACCAUAGAAACAUUUCCCCAACCAUCACAUGUGCAGCUCUUGGCACCUUUUAUCUCAUUUCAUCCUCACCACAACCCUAAGGGAUAUGGGUCACCUUACUCCCAUUUUACCAAAGAGGAAACUGAGGUUCAGAGGGGUGACGCUAUUUGCCCCAAGGACUAUAACUAGAAAGCGUUAGCAUGCGUGCUAGUCACUUCAGUCAAGUCCGACUCUUUGCCACCCCAUGGACGGUAGCCCACCAGGCUCCUCUGUCCAUGAGAUUCUCCAGGCAAGAAUACUGGAGUGGGGUUGCCACACCCUCCUCCAGGGGGAUCUUCCCGACUCAGGGAUCGAACCCACGUCUCUU
ensembl:lncRNA